UUGACCUCGGAUCAGGUGAGGAUACCC
rnacentral:rRNA from 1 species